UUUGUGGAGGGUUCGAUUCUGGCUCAGGAUGAACGCUGGCGGCGUGCUUAACACAUGCAAGUCGAACGGGAUCCCAGGAGCUUGCUCCUGGGUGAGAGUGGCGAACGGGUGAGUAAUGCGUGACCGACCUGCCCCAUACACCGGAAUAGCUCCUGGAAACGGGUGGUAAUGCCGGAUGCUCCGACUCCUCGCAUGGGGUGUCGGGAAAGAUUAUAUCGGUAUGGGAUGGGGUCGCGUCCUAUCAGGUAGUCGGCGGGGUAACGGCCCACCGAGCCUACGACGGGUAGCCGGCCUGAGAGGGCGACCGGCCACAUUGGGACUGAGAUACGGCCCAGACUCCUACGGGAGGCAGCAGUGGGGAAUAUUGCACAAUGGGCGCAAGCCUGAUGCAGCGACGCCGCGUGCGGGAUGACGGCCUUCGGGUUGUAAACCGCUUUUGAUCGGGAGCAAGCCUUCGGGUGAGUGUACCUUUCGAAUAAGCACCGGCUAACUACGUGCCAGCAGCCGCGGUAAUACGUAGGGUGCAAGCGUUAUCCGGAAUUAUUGGGCGUAAAGGGCUCGUAGGCGGUUCGUCGCGUCCGGUGUGAAAGUCCAUCGCUUAACGGUGGAUCUGCGCCGGGUACGGGCGGGCUGGAGUGCGGUAGGGGAGACUGGAAUUCCCGGUGUAACGGUGGAAUGUGUAGAUAUCGGGAAGAACACCAAUGGCGAAGGCAGGUCUCUGGGCCGUUACUGACGCUGAGGAGCGAAAGCGUGGGGAGCGAACAGGAUUAGAUACCCUGGUAGUCCACGCCGUAAACGGUGGAUGCUGGAUGUGGGGCCCGUUCCACGGGUUCCGUGUCGGAGCUAACGCGUUAAGCAUCCCGCCUGGGGAGUACGGCCGCAAGGCUAAAACUCAAAGAAAUUGACGGGGGCCCGCACAAGCGGCGGAGCAUGCGGAUUAAUUCGAUGCAACGCGAAGAACCUUACCUGGGCUUGACAUGUUCCCGACCGCUCCAGAGAUGGGGCUUCCCUUCGGGGCGGGUUCACAGGUGGUGCAUGGUCGUCGUCAGCUCGUGUCGUGAGAUGUUGGGUUAAGUCCCGCAACGAGCGCAACCCUCGCCCUGUGUUGCCAGCACNUNAUGGUGGGAACUCACGGGGGACCGCCGGGGUCAACUCGGAGGAAGGUGGGGAUGACGUCAGAUCAUCAUGCCCCUUACGUCCAGGGCUUCACGCAUGCUACAAUGGCCGGUACAACGGGAUGCGACANGGCGACGUGGAGCGGAUCCCUGAAAACCGGUCUCAGUUCGGAUUGGAGUCUGCAACCCGACUCCAUGAAGGCGGAGUCGCUAGUAAUCGCGGAUCAGCAACGCCGCGGUGAAUGCGUUCCCGGGCCUUGUACACACCGCCCGUCAAGUCAUGAAAGUGGGUAGCACCCGAAGCCGGUGGCCUAACCCCUUGUGGGAUGGAGCCGUCUAAGGUGAGACUCGUGAUUGGGACUAAGUCGUAACAAGGUAGC
rnacentral:rRNA from 1 species